GACAGAGGGGGCAAGCGUUGUUCGGAAUUACUGGGCGUAAAGGGCGCGCAGGCGGCCGAUCAAGUCAGAUGUGAAAGCCCCGGGCUCAACUUGGGAAUAGCAUUUGGGACUGGUUGGCUAGAGAUCGGGAGAGGAGAGUGGAAUUCCCAGUGUAGAGGUGAAAUUCGUAGAUAUUGGGAAGAACACCGGUGGCGAAGGCGUCUCUCUGGACCGAUACUGACGCUGAGGCGCGAAAGCGUGGGGAGCAAACAGG
rnacentral:rRNA from 1 species